UACGUAGGGUCCGAGCGUUGUCCGGAAUUAUUGGGCGUAAAGGGCUCGUAGGCGGUCUGUCGCGUCGGGAGUGAAAACUUACAGCUUAACUGUGAGCGUGCUUCCGAUACGGGCAGACUUGAGGUAUUCAGGGGAGAACGGAAUUCCUGGUGUAGCGGUGAAAUGCGCAGAUAUCAGGAGGAACACCGGUGGCGAAGGCGGCUCUCUGGGAAUAUCCUGACGCUGAGGAGCGAAAGUGUGGGGAGCGAACAGG
rnacentral:rRNA from 1 species